rnacentral:rRNA from 1 species
GAUGAACGCUGGCGGCAUGCCUAAUACAUGCAAGUCGUGCGGAAACACUUCGGGUGUCGAGCGGCGGACGGGUGAGUAACACGUUAGUAUCUACCCCAAACUGAGGGAUAAGCCCGAGAAAUCGGGUCUAAUACCGCAUAUGGUCUUUGGAUUAAAGCCUUCGGGCGGUUUGGGAGGAGCUUGCGUCUGAUUAGCUAGUUGGUAAGGUAAUGGCUUACCAAGGCUACGAUCAGUAGCUGGUCUGAGAGGAUGAUCAGUCACACUGGAACUGAGACACGGGCCAGACUCCUACGGGAGGCAGCAGUAGGGAAUUUUCCACAAUGGGCGAAAGCCUGAUGGAGCAAUGCCGCGUGCAGGAUGAAUGCCUUCGGGUUGUAAACUGCUUUUAUGAGGGAAGAUUAUGACGGUACCUCAUGAAUAAGCCUCGGCUAACUCCGUGCCAGCCGCCGCGGUA